ACCAAUUCUAGAGGAUUAUUUGGUUCCUCCUGAUGUAAUGGCUCGGACGCCAAAUUCAUUAUUGUGGCUAUUCUGAUCAGUGGAUUCGCAAUGCCAUUGGAUCCGGGAAACUCCACAUACAUUC